rnacentral:rRNA from 1 species
UACAGAGGAGCCAAGCGUUGUCCGGAUUGACUGGGCGUAAAGCGCACGCAGGCGGAUGCGCGCGUGGGGUGUGAAAUCUGGCCGCUUAACGGCCAGGCGCCAUCCCAUACGGCGCGUCUGGAGUGAUGCAGAGGUCGGUGGAAUUGCCGGUGUAGUGGUGAAAUGCGUAGAGAUCGGCAGGAACACCCAGGGGGAAACCAGCCGACUGGGCAUGCUACGUGACGC